AUUGAACGCUGGCGGCAGGCCUAACACAUGCAAGUCGAGCGAGCGGCGGACGGGUGUGUAAUGUAUGGGGACUGCCCGAUAGAGGGGGAUAACUACUGGAAACGGGGGCUAAUACCGCAUACGGUCGGAGAACCCAUAUGGGAUUAGCUAGGAGGUAAGGGAAAGGCUUACCUAGGCGACGAUCCCUAGCUUGUCUGAGAGGGGGAUCAGCCACACUGGGACUGAGACACGGCCCAGACUCCUACGGAGGCAGCAGUGGGGAAUAUUGCACAAUGGGCGCAAGCCUGAUGCAGCCAUGCCGCGUGUAUGAAGAAGGCCCUAGGGUUGUAAAGUACUUUCAGUCGGGAGGCGUUACCGACAGAAGAAGCACCGGCUAACUCCGUGCCAGCAGCCGCGGUAAUUC
rnacentral:rRNA from 1 species